UACGUAGGUGGCGAACGUUGUCCGGAUUUACUGGGCGUAAAGAGCGCGCAGGCGGUCGUCCAAGUCGCGUGUGAAAGCCCCCGGCUCAACUGGGGAGGGUCACGCGAUACUGUUCGACUCGAAGGCAGGAGAGGGUAGUGGAAUUCCCGGUGUAGUUGUGAAAUGCGUAGAUAUGCGGAGGAACACCGAUGGCGAAGGCAAUCCCCUGGGCCUGCACUGACGCUCAUGCACGAAAGCGUGGGGAGCAAACAGG
rnacentral:rRNA from 1 species